rnacentral:rRNA from 1 species
CGAAGGCCCUAGCUUGCUAGGUGUCCUUAGUGGCGCACGGGUGAGUAACACGUGGGAACAUACCUCAUAGUACGGAAUAACUGCGGGAAACUGUAGCUAAUACCGUAUAUUCCAAAAAUGGGAAAGAUUUAUCGCUAUGAGAUUGGCCCGCGCAAGAUUAGCUUGUUGGUAAGGUAACGGCUUACCAAGGCUCCGAUCUUUAGCUGGUUUGAGAGGAUGAUCAGCCACACUGGGACUGAGACACGGCCCAGACUCCUACGGGAGGCAGCAGUAGGGAAUAUUGGACAAUGGGGGAAACCCUGAUCCAGCAAUGCAGCGUGAGUGACGAAGGCCUUAGGGUUGUAAAACUCUUUCAUCGGUGAGGAUAAUGACAGUAGCCGAAGAAGAAGGACCGGCUAAUUCCGUGCCAGCAGCCGCGGUAAUACGGAAGGUCCUAGCGUUGUUCGGAAUUACUGGGCGUAAAGCGCAUGUAGGCGGAACAAAAAGUUAGAAGUGAAAUCCCUGGGCUCAACCUAGGAAUUGCUUUUAAAACUUUUGUUCUGGAAUUCAGGAGAGGAAAAUGGAAUUUCCAGUGUAGAGGUGAAAUUCGUAGAUAUUGGAAGGAACACCAGUGGCGAAGGCGAUUUUCUGGACUGAUAUUGACGCUGAGAUGCGAAGGCAUGGGUAGCAAACGGGAUUAGAUACCCCGGUAGUCCAUGCAGUAAACGAUGGGUGCUAGUCGUCGGACUUUUGUUCGGUGUCGUAGCUAACGCGUUAAGCACCCCGCCUGGGGAGUACGGUCGCAAGAAUAAAACUCAAAUAAAUUGACGGGGACCCGCACAAGCAGUGGAGCAUGUGGGUUAAUUCGACGCAACGCGAAGACCUUACCAGCGUUUGACAUGGGAAGUGCCGGUUACAGAAUGGUAACCUUC